rnacentral:lncRNA from 1 species
UACACAAUGGGGUUUCGGGGCUGUGGACCCUGUGCCAGGAAAGGAAGCACGCAGCUCCUGUAAUGCGGAGCAGCCAGGGCAGUGGGCACCAGGCUUUAGCCUCCCUUUCUCACCCUAUGGAGGGCAGGCCCUUCAGCUCCAUUUUCCUCCAAGGCUGCAAAGGGGGCAGGAAUUCGGGGUGACAGGAGAGCCGUAAGGUCUCCAGGUGGGUCAUUCUGGGCUCAGAGAUGGGUGCUGAGGCUCCCAUGCCUCCCUGUGAAAGUGGAGUCCUCUCUCACCUGGGACAGCCAGGUGCUGCCCUGAGAAGGGUGCAUUCAUGGCUUCAUGAAUUCUUUCCUGACCCCCAAUGCUUACUUAUAGAGACAAAGUCUCACUAUGUUGCUCAGGCUGGUCUUGAACUCUUGGCCUCAAGCAAUCCUCCCACCUUAGCCUUCCAAAGUGUUGGGAUUAUAGGCAUGAGCCACUGCACCUGGCCGACCUUGGGCAAGUUCUUAAACCCCUCAAAGCCUCAUUUUUCUCCAAUCAUAAAAGGGAAUGAUGGUAAUAUUUUCCCCGCCAAAUUCUUGGUGGAUGCCCUCACAGAAUUGAGAUUAUAUACGUAAAACACCAAGCGCCUAACCUGGCACAGAGGAGGAGGGCUAAGCAUGACAUCCAGCACAUGGUCAGUGGAAUCCAGUAUUCCUACCCACCUCUCUAGUCUCCCCUCCACCGCUUUCCCUUUCAGAGGCACCAAGCUGCUUGUGGUCUUGCCUAUUCCCACUCCCUGCCCGACUGAACAUUUUCUCACCUCCUGAUCAUCAGCAGCAGAAACUGGCUGCUCUUCCUCCUGGGUAGACAGCCAGACUGUAUUUCCCAGCUGCCCCUGCAGUGAGAUGUGGCCAUCGGAGCCAGCAUUGGCCAAUGGACUCUGCACGGGAGUGACGCAUGCUGCCUCCAGGCUUGUCCCUGAAACCUCCACGUGUCCUCCGCCUGCUCUUCCCACUUCCAAGGAGCACGGCAAUGUGGAAGACCCAGAUUAGUGAUGGCAGAACCAUAGAUGGGAGGAACCUGGGUCCCUGACUUAAAGUAUCAUGGAUUUGGAUGUUCCCUUAGUGACAAAUGAACUUCCAUUGUGUUUAAGCCUUUAUUUGUUUAUAGUUGGUUACAGCAACUGCCUUCUUUUAAUUAAAACACUCCUGCUGCU